AAGUCGUAACAAGGUUUCCGUAGGUGAACCUGCGGAAGGAUCAUUAAUGAUUUUUAAAGCGAGUCGAGCGUUAAGCGAGGCUUGCGAAAUAUUUAAAACCCCACUCUUUUUAACCUUAAAAAAUAGAUCAUGAUACAUGAAUUUAAAAAAAAAAGAUCACUUUCAACAACGGAUCUCUUGGUUCUC
rnacentral:misc_RNA from 1 species